rnacentral:lncRNA from 1 species
UAAUUCAAUGAGGUAACAGAUGAGAAGCUCCCGGCUCAUUCUGUCUCUCCAAUGCCACUUUCCUUCCUCUUCCUCCUCCUGGCAUGCCCACUUUAGAGCUGACUCCAAAGCCAGUGAUGAAAUCAAAGCCUCACCACCGCCUCCAUGGUCCCAUCCCUCACCUUGCUUCAAGGCUACCAGCUGUCUCCACCCAGCUGGCACUGCUGAGGUUGGAUGAGCCAAACGACAACAACAACAACAACAAAGGCUUCAUGGAGUUAGAAGGAGGGUCCCCAGAGAAACAGACUGACAUCAUCAUUGCAGCACCGGGAACAGAAACUAAGAUUUCAUGACUACAAAGGAUAAUAUAGUGCCCUUUAGCCACAGAGACAGCAUCCUCACCAGCCCCAAUCAAAAAGUGCUUCUUGGGGAAGGAAAAUAAUCUUCUGGCUUGAAUAGAGAUAUCUGCAUU